UACGUAGGUGGCAAGCGUUUGUCCGGAUUUACUGGGCGUAAAGAGCGCGCAGGCGGUCGUUCAAGUCGCGUGUGAAAGCCCCCGGCUCAACUGGGGAGGGUCACGCGAUACUGAUCGACUGGAAGGCAGGAGAGGGUAGUGGAAUUCCCGGUGUAGUGGUGAAAUGCGUAGAUAUCGAGAGGAACACCGGUGGCGAAGGCGGCCUUCUGGACAGUGACUGACGCUGAGGCGCGACAGCGUGGGGAGCAAACAGG
rnacentral:rRNA from 1 species